rnacentral:rRNA from 1 species
CAAUAGCGUAUACUAACGUUGUUGCAGUUAAAAGCUCGUAGUUGGAUUUCUGUAUUGGUUAGCCGGCCGGCGCAUUCGCGUUGCAGCUUGGUUUAAUCGAUGCAUCUUGUCACAAUAGACACUGGCAUUCAUUUGUUGGUGUUCUGGACUGACUCGUUUACUUUGAGAAAAUUAGAGUGUUCAAAGCAGGCUAUCGCCUUGAAUAUGUUAGCAUGGAAUAAUGAUAUAGGACUUUGGAACUAUUUUGUUGGUUUGCGUUACAAAGUAAUGAUUAAUAGGGACAGUUGGGGGUAUUCGUAUUUCGUUGUCAGAGGUGAAAUUCUUGGAUUUCCGAAAGACGAACUACUGCGAAAGCAUUUACCAAGGAUGUUUUCAUUAAUCAAGAACGAAAGUUAGGGGAUCGAAGACGAUCAGAUACCGU